ensembl:lincRNA
CGCACAAUCAGAAGGCGACUGGCGCCUUGUCAACCAGACGCAGGGUGGUGGCGGGAGCCGAACCCGUUUGUCUCUGUACUGCCAGCGAGGGCUGGGCUGACCCUGCAGGUGCCGGCGUUAAUUCAUGUCACACCUUGCGCCUCCAUCCUGCGUGGUAUGAAAACUAGGCGCCAAUUUCGUAAUAAAGACUUGUUUCCGACGAGGCCCGGUUUGGGGCGGGGGCACAGAUCUUCAUUAGGGCCCCUUUCCCGGGCCACGCUCGUUACAGAGCACAGGUACUGGCUAAAUGUGUCCGAUCAUUCAUCAUGAUUUCGCCCUCCACUUUGUCACAGCGUGGGGAUUUAAGGAAGAUAGAUGGUACAAGAUGUUGUCUCCUCCGCAGACGCUUUCUGCUCUGGGUGUCUAGUUUACAACGCAGGAGCCAGAGAAAAUGAGAUGAGGGACGACGGGUGGCUUUGGGGAGACACCCCGCAAGAGGAAAGGUUUGACUUGAGUGUGGAGGUGGAAUUCGAGGAAACGGCAUAUUCCAGAUGGUGGGAACAGCUUAUGCAACAGCAUCACAGAAUUUCCAGGUAGAAAAAAACCAUGAACCCUGCUCGUCUGUAGGCUGUGGAGGCUGCUGCCCAGAUGGGAGGCAGCCUAGAACAGCAGCACAUCCUGGGUUGGUGCUCUGGCCCUGCUGCUCAUCGACCAGGUGACCAUGCACAGGUGCUGCAACCUGCGGGAGCCCCACUUUCGUCCUGUGUCACAGAGCCUGUGAGGAAAGUGCUUAGCAGCAGAGGAAAAGCCCCUUUAGUGGUCCCUCCC